CUUGCGUUUAUCAUACCGAAACUCGGGAGUGAAACUUCUGUACCGUAAGGUACUAAUUAUGUAUUCUGUGGUAGAGUUCAAGCAUGCACCAGACAGAAUU